rnacentral:rRNA from 1 species
CACCUACGGGUGGCUGCAGUCGAGAAUCUUCGGCAAUGGACGAAAGUCUGACCGAGCGACGCCGCGUGUACGAUGAAGGCCUUCGGGUUGUAAAGUACUGUCAGUUGGGAGGAAAUUCUUGGGGGUUCUCCCCCUUGAUUGACCCAUCUUCAGAGGAAGUGCGGGCUAAGUUCGUGCCAGCAGCCGCGGUAAUACGAACCGCACGAACGUUAUUCGGAAUCACUGGGCUUAAAGAGCACGUAGGCGGACUGUCAAGCGCUUUGUGAAAGCCCUCGGCUUAACCGAGGAAUAGCUUGGCGAACUGGCAGUCUUGAGGCAGGUAGGGGCAACUGGAACUCAUGGUGGAGCGGUGGAAUGCGUAGAUAUCAUGAGGAACGCCGGAGGCGAAGGCGAGUUGCUGGGCCUGUCCUGACGCUGAGGUGCGAAAGCUAGGGGAGCGAACGGGAUUAGAUACCCCGGUAGUCCUAGCCCUAAACGAUGUCCACUAGGUCGGAGGCACUCUGACGUGUUUCUGGCCGAAAUGAAAACGGUAAGUGGACCGCCUGGGGAGUACGGUCGCAAGGCUAAAACUCAAAGGAAUUGACGGGUCUUCACACAAGCGGUGGAG